rnacentral:rRNA from 1 species
CCUACGGGAGGCAGCGGUGAGGAAUAUUGGUCAAUGGACGAGAGUCUGAACCAGCCAAGUAGCGUGAAGGAUGACUGCCCUAUGGGUUGUAAACUUCUUUUAUAAAGGAAUAAAACGAGGCACGUGUGCCUGUUUGCAAGUACUUUAUGAAUAAGGAUCGGCUAACUCCGUGCCAGCAGCCGCGGUAAUACGGAGGAUCCGAGCGUUAUCCGGAUUUAUUGGGUUUAAGGGGAGCGUAGAUGGGUUGUUAAGUCAGUGGUGAAAGUUUGCGGCUCAACCGUAAAAUUGCAAUUGAUACUGGCAGUCUUGAGUACAGUUGAGGUAGGCGGAAUGCGUGGUGUAGCGGUGAAAUGCUUAGAUAUCACGAAGAACCCCGAUUGCGAAGGCAGCUUACUAAACUGUGACUGACAUUGAUGCUCGAAAGUGUGGGUAUCAAACAGGAUUAGAUACCCUUGUAGUC